rnacentral:rRNA from 1 species
GAUGAACGCUGACAGAGUGCUUAACACAUGCAAGUCGAUGGGGAAGUGGUGCUUGCCCCAUGGCAACCAUGGCGGACGGGUGAGUAACGCGUAAGGGACUUACCUGCAGGACUGGGAUAACAGGGGGAAACUCCUGACAAGACCGGAUAAUGUCAUGGAGCUGCAUGGCUUUAUGAUGAAAGGAGACGCCUGCGGAGAGCCUUGCGUCCUAUUAGCUAGUUGGUGAGGUAAUGGCUCACCAAGGCGAAGAUAGGUAGCCGGCCUGAGAGGGUGGACGGCCACAAGGGGACUGAGAUACGGCCCUUACUCCUACGGGAGGCAGCAGUGGGGAAUAUUGGACAAUGGGGGCAACCCUGAUCCAGCAAUUCUGUGUGCACGAAGAAGGUUUUCGGAUUGUAAAGUGCUUUCAGCAGGGAAGAAGUAAGUGACGGUACCUGCAGAAGAAGCGACGGCUAAAUACGUG